GCAGAGCACAACAAUGGCGUCAAACUUUCUAGUUUUCACUCUCCACUCCGAUUACUGUGAUUUCUUUAGGCAUUCUGAGGACUCCUCAAAAUCCCUUUCGGCAAAGAUUUUACAUGGGGAAACCAUGUCCAAAAGAGUUGAAAUGUGAUGUUGAGGUGACUAUUAAGUCUAUUUUGAUUAUGUUCAUUUUAUUUAAUGAGAAGCUAGUGCUGCACUUGUUACGGCAGGUAGUUUGAAAGCUAAAUGUGUAGUGUAAAUGUUAUAAUAACAUUUAAAUUAUUUGGGAU